rnacentral:lncRNA from 1 species
AUGGCUAAGUUUACAAUCCCUUGUUUCGUCCUCAUUUUGGUGCUCUUGUCCACCACCAAUGGUUUGUUUCAAUAAUCUUCAAUCAUAUAUAUUUUGUGUUUUUUUCCAGUUAGUUAGGCUUUUCAACUAAGUAUUUACAAUCUCCUAUAUAUAUGGUCAAACAGAUGUCCAUGCAUGCAAGCUCUUAGGGUUUUUUUAAUUUCUUUUUCCUUUUUGGUUGAUCAUAUCAGUGUAUGACUCGGUUAAAAACUCAUAUUAUUGGAUCAAUUUUAAUUACUAUUAAUUUAAGAAUCUAGAAUUUAUUCAAGUGCAUAAACCCAUGUCUACACUUGUUUUUUCCGUAAAUAUUUUGUAAUAUAAUUUUAUGUAUUGCACAAGUCUAUGUUACUAUAUUGAUUACCAUUUUUCGCUUAAGAGGCUUUUUGUUUUUUAAUUUUUGGUUCAUGUCGCGCUAAGACUAUAAUCUCUUUGAAGAAUUAAUUAAUUGUAUUUUUUUUUUUUUAAAAUUUCAGUUUGGAAGAUAGCAACUGUUGAAGGUUCCAAGUGUUGUACUGAUCAUCCUGAACUUGGAAAGUGUGUCCCUGGUGCGGAUGACAAUCCAAACAGUGGAAAAUGCUGGAAAUUUUGCACUUCAGGUUGUGAGAAAGGAGGCAUCUGCAAACUAUUUGGCGACCAUCAUCAUUGCCAUUGCUUAUGUUGA